UGGCUCAGAGGUAUAAAGCAUCUGCCUGCAAUGCAGGAGACCUGGGUUCAAAUCCCUG
rnacentral:tRNA from 1 species